AACGCUAGCUACAGGCUUAACACAUGCAAGUCGAGGGGCAGCAUGAUUGAAGCUUGCUUCAAUUGAUGGCGACCGGCGCACGGGUGAGUAACACGUAUCCAACCUUCCGUACACUCAGGGAUAGCCUUUCGAAAGAAAGAUUAAUACCUGAUGGUAUCUUAAGCACACAUGUAAUUAAGAUUAAAGAUUUAUCGGUGUACGAUGGGGAUGCGUUCCAUUAGGUAGUAGGCGGGGUAACGGCCCACCUAGCCUACGAUGGAUAGGGGUUCUGAGAGGAAGGUCCCCCACAUUGGAACUGAGACACGGUCCAAACUCCUACGGGAGGCAGCAGUGAGGAAUAUUGGUCAAUGGACGAGAGUCUGAACCAGCCAAGUAGCGUGAAGGAUGAAGGUCCUACGGAUUGUAAACUUCUUUUAUAAGGGAAUAAAGUCACCUACGUGUAGGUGUUUGUAUGUACCUUAUGAAUAAGGAUCGGCUAACUCCGUGCCAGCAGCCGCGGUAAUACGGAGGAUCCGAGCGUUAUCCGGAUUUAUUGGGUUUAAAGGGAGCGUAGGUGGAAGAUUAAGUCAGCCUGUGAAAGUUUGCGGCUCAACCGUAAAAUUGCAGUUGAUACUGGUUUUCUUGAGUGCAGUAGAGGUGGGCGGAAUUCGUGGUGUAGCGGUGAAAUGCUUAGAUAUCACGAAGAACUCCGAUUG
rnacentral:rRNA from 1 species